ACGACGAGCCUUCCUGCAGCAACAUCUAUGAAGUUCUGUCUCCUGAAUGUUUUCCACAGACAGACAAAAUGGCUGAAUUGUUCACCUACAGCUCCAAUGAGUUACUGUCUGAAACGGCCAACAACGACAAGCCUUUCUGCAGCAACAUCUAUGAAGUUCUGUCUCCUGAAUGGGAUCCAGACCUGCAGAACCUCAGCAACUAAAACCCGGAGCCACUUGACAUUGAGUCCACCAGGCAACAGAACCGUAGACCAGGUUCUGGGUUAAACUGUUCACUUAUUCAGCCGCCGCCUACUUUUUCAACAGCGGCACGCUGUUUUGUCUUUGCACCUCCGGUAAGCCGCCAAUUCACUGGUGUCAGUAUCAGAAAAUGGAGAAAAUGACAUGGGAAGAAACUAAUAUGUCGUUCAAAAGCUUUAAGGGAAUGUGUGUAACUCACCAAACGGCAAGACUCUCAAAUCUCACUGAGACAUGCAUUUCACUGACUUCACAAACAUUGCAUUCUUCACACAAUGAAUGGUCUUGCAGGUGAUCUGUUCACAGCGCUGUCCGUUCUCAGCUCAGGUAAAUCCCGCCUUCUGUGGAGACGUUUCAGCUUCUUUCUCAGCUUCUGGGCAUCUGUAAUUCCUUCUGCCGUUAGCAGAGCAGCAGGAAGAGGUAGAACAAUGCUGAGCAAUUUAAUAUAACGUUAGCCCGGUGAUUAACGACCUGCAAUACUGUGCAAGGUUUGUUUAUCUGAA